AUGGCCUCGAGUAUGCUUCAUCGAAUCGAUUCAUCGGAUGAUGAUGAUGUCCCUCCUACUUCUAGUGAGACUACUGCAAAUGAGGGUGGUACCAUUACAGAAGGAAGACUGAAGGUGCGAGAUAUUUGGUCACUUCUUACGGGUAAAAGGAUUAUCAUCCCGUGCAAUGAGCUUGGCCAACCAAUAGAUGAUGCAGGUGGUCUCUUGGGUGGCUUCAUGGGAGAUUUAGGGUCUGACUUUUCUAUAUUUCCUAUGUGUUACAAGUCAUGGCAAGGUUCCAGUUAACUACAAGAAUAGCGUAUAUGACGACAUUAUACAGAAGAAGAUUCUUGUGGAGGAUGGUCGAUUAAGAGACUACAUGAUGAAGAGUAUUGGAAAGACAUGGAAAGAUACUAGAUGUUCCCUCUAUCAUAGCUUUUAUAAAGAGUCACUGACUUUUGAGGAAAAUGUUGCAAGACGUCCCGGUGGAAUUGAUCUUGACCAGUGGACAUGGUUUCUUCAAUACCGCAAGGAUAAGAAAACACAGAUGUGCAAAAGCGAAAUCUUUGAAAAUCGACGGAAGCAAACUUACACACACUAAUGGUUCAAAAAGCUUACCUAGGAGAAA